AGAUCAAAUGCCUACUCUGACUUGAUGCAAGUCACACAGAGGUCCAAAUCCUUUAACUGGAGCAGAGCAAAACUGCAAGCUCAGACAUUUCAGAAGCCAGUAACCAGCAGCAAGAUGCAUGCAUAUUGCAGGACGGGUUAUACAAUUUCCAGAAAUUUCUUUUCCUUUAAACUUAGAUUUUAAUUUCCUCAAAUAUUCUUUUCUGCACUAUCAUAGAGAGCAGUUUCAAAAUAUGUCACCACCAGGGAGUGAGGAGUCAACAAAGUCUGAAUGUGUGAGGAGCUUGGUCUAGAUGGGAAUCACUGCAGGUCCAAGAGAAGCAGAGCUGAUGAAAGACAGAUGUGUUCAGGAACUCAGCCUGAAGAAUACAAACACAGUGUAAGAAAGGUCUUGCUUUACUCUCCAAGCUCAUUUCUUCUGAUCAAAUCAUUAUAUCAUGACUGUAAACAACAGACUCCUCCUGAUACAAGUGCAUUUGCUUAUUGAGCUUGUUACAUGUCCCAGGGCUAGAAAUCCUAUGGGGGAUAAAAGGUUAAAAAAAGAAGAUUUUCCCCCUAAAAAUGACACAGGAUUUGCAGAUGUGAUCCACCAACAACAGAAUGACAGAUCUAGAAUAAGAAGGAAAACCAGCACCAGGAAAAUCCUACCAGGAAAUAACACUGCAUGCUGAUGUAAACUUAGAAAAGACUAGGGUUUUUUUGUUUUCUCCAUGAGCUCUAGCAGACAAUAAACACUAUCAUUUUGA